rnacentral:ncRNA from 2 species
UGUAAAAGCUAGGGGAGCCAUAUGGCUGAGAAAAUGAGAAAUUUGACCCUUGUACCUGAUACGGAUAAUGCCGUCGUAGGGAAGCGAAAUUGGUAAUUA